rnacentral:lncRNA from 1 species
CGUCAUCAAGACCAUGUUUUUCUCAUGUCAUUCUCUUAAGGAAAACGUAAUGGGAUGAUUCUGCAAUCUUGUUUCAUAUUCAUUUCUACCAACCGUAAAAAGGAUGUUGAUACAUAAUUGGUUCGUGUUCCCGAUUAGUUAGGAAAAAUAUAAAGAUGCUUUGAAAUGUAAAUGAUGGUACGAGGUUUCUUGUAGGAAAGCAAGAAUCGUGGUUGGCAUUCCUUAAUGAAAUUAACACCCUCGUUAAAAAGUUUCGUAACUUUGGCCUGUAGGCUUGUUAUUACUGUUGACUUAUAUUAGGAUUCCUAUAAUUGUGGGAUUCCUACUGUAAUUGGUUUCCUAGUUUAGGAUGUAAUUAUUCUUCCCUUAUUCUUUCCCAUAUCUGUAUAGGGUUGUAUAUAUACCUUGUUUUUGAUAUGAAAUAAUAUAUCAUUGAAAAGCAUUCUUUCUUCUUGGCACCAGAGCCGGGUUAGAAAAAAAAACUGAACCCUAGUUUUUUUCCUGCCGUGUACCUGAUCCAUUGCAGCAAGCAACCUUAGGGUUGUUUACUGCCCGUUCCCUGACUGAUUGCAGCGAGCACCAGAGAAGGUGUUGCUGCUCUGACCGAUUGCAGCGAGCACCAGAUAGGGUGUUGCUGCCCUGUUGAUUUGUCCAACGUGUUCUAGGUCCCAUCACCGCUGCUGUUUUUUUUUUUUCCUCUGCCUAGUUUGUGUCAGUCAACACCGAAGCAACAGAGAGAUGGCUGAAGAAAAGGGGGCUGGUUCACAGAUUGUUUCAGCGGCUGCUCCAAUUAUGGUGCAGUCAGAGAAUUCAAGCUUUAAUAUUGGUAUGGUUUUGGAUGAAAAGAACUAUGAUUUAUGGGCUCCUCUCAUUCAAAUUCAUAUUGCUGGAAGGAAGAAGAUGGGAUAUCUUCGUGGGUCUAUCAAGGCACCUAGCGAAGAUGAUCCUAAAUAUGAUGAUUGGUUUUCUGAAGAUCAAAAAAUUAAGAGUUGGCUUUUGUCUUCCAUGAAGCCCGAGAUUAUGAAACGGUACAUUCGGUUGUCUACAUCGAAGGAGAUUUGGGACUCCUUGAAGGCUGCCUACUUUGAUGAGAAUGACGAGGCUAGAAUUUAUUCGUUGAAUCAGAAGGCAUCCCGUCUGCGUCAGAAUGGCCGACCCUUAGCUACCUAUUUUGGGGAGCUCACUGAGAUCUUCCAAGAAUUGGAUCACUUUAAUAAAGUAUCCAUGGAGUGUGAGAAUGACAUAAAAGUGUUUCAGAAAUCCACUGAGAGACAACGGGUCUAUGUGUUUCUUGGUGGUCUUGAUGAUGGGUUUGAUCAGGUGCGUGGAGAAGUGCUGCGGAAGGAUCCCCCACUUGGCCUGCAGGCUUCUUAUGCCUAUGUUUGUCGAGAAGCCGAUCGAAAGGAAGCAAUGAAGACAGAGGUUGACAAGGGGGAGUCUGCUGCCAUGGCAGCAAGGGCCCGUGGAUCAUCUAGUGGGUCGAAUCGAGAAGGGGUACAAAACAGGCCUGGAUCAACUCGGCCAAACCAGACAAGCCGGGAUCGUCCACAAGGUAAGUGCCCACACUGUGGCCUGACGGGACACUCCAAGAGUCGUUGUUUUGAGCUGAUUGGAUAUCCCGAGAAUUGGGAUAAGACCCGUGAUCCUCGGUGCAACAAAUCUCGAGCCUCCAUUGUCGAAACCAAGAAUGAUUCGGAUCAGAUAGCGGACAAGGCAUCUGCCAUGAUAGCUGCGGCAGGAAGUGAUGGUAAGGCACUCAGUACUUCUACUUCUGUUAUGAAUAAUACAUGGAUAAUUGAUUCCGGAGCUACUGAACAUAUGACUUGUGAUUCUAGACAGGUUCCAUCACUAAAAACAUCCACACAAACCGAGGUCAAUGUUGCUAAUGGUAAUGCCGUCCCUGUUAUUGGGGAAUGCGUUGUUUCCCUUUCUGAUACCAUGAAACUUGACACUGUUCUUGUGGUUCCCUCUCUAAAUUAUAAUUUGUUGUCCGUUGCUCAAAUAACCCUUGCCUUACAUUGUUUGGUUAUUUUUUGGCCAUAUUUUUUGUGUUUUUAAGGACAUCCGGACGCGGAAGACGAUUGGUUAUGGUAUUAGAAGAGGGAAACUUAUUACUUGGAGUUGACCACCAGUAGUUCUAGCUUGCUGACUCAAGCUCUUUCCGUUGAGAUUCUCAAGGGUUAUUGCCUUCUCACCUCCGAGGUCCAAGGCCUCACCCGUCAAUUCUCCUCCUGUGUCCACCGACCACUGCGUUGAAGAAAUUUGGUUUGGGACUGUAUCGGUCUUCUUGAUAUGCAAACUGUUCAUGGAAGCAGGAGCGGCAGCAGCAACAAGAGGAGCGCUCGGAGGGCCAUGUCGCUUCUUUGGGACAGGCAUGUCAUGGUCAUGUACCCCCUUGUAUGUUAUAAUUACAGCACUUGUGUUAUCUACGGCUGUUUCAAUGUGUUUCCGAACUGGACACCCAGCAGAAGUACAUCUGUAGUAGUUCCUAAAAAAAAAUACAAUAAUGGAUCAAAAUCAAAGUAAGAAUACAUGUAGUAUUUAAUUAUAAAGCUCCGAAUGCCAGCUCUGAAUAAAUUCCGUUCACUAUUUUUUUACUUGUACAUCUAAAGUGGCAGAUCUCCUUUAUAACAAAAGCUUCAUUUGAUUAGAGAUGCCACAAAAUGCGUUAAAGCAUUCUUUGAUGAAUAUCAUUUAUGCUCUGCUUGCUUCUUAGAAAUGCAAAUAAACAAAAAAUGGAACCAACUAAGAUUGCUUAAGAGUCAAUCACUAAUUUGAUCAUUGCAUUUUCGAGUUAUUCGGAUUGUAUCUUUCGCAAAUUAACUGCGCUGUGAAGUUUUAAAGUAAACACCUUGCACAAAGGAAAGACGAAGUCUAUGUAAAAAUGACGCAUACUGAACAUCAUUUAACCACAUAUAACAACGAAUUUAAACCCCAGAUGCUGAUUAAUUAGGCUAAUAUCAAACUACCAAGGAAGAAAAAGUGAAGGAAAUAGGAAUGCACCUGGGAUGAGGGUUUCCUUUCACCAUCUUCUGUCCAUAUUUGCGCCAUCUGUAUCCAUCACCUGAUAUUCCAACAUCCCCAGCCGCAUGCACAACAAAUUUAGGUUUCUUGCCAGGUUUUGAGAGAGAAGCAGAAUAUUCUGAUUUGCUUUUCUUCAUUCUGUUUAUCAAUGAGGCAAGCAUUAGAACCAAGUAACAUACUCCUUUCAACUAGUACAAAAUACCGGGGGGGGGGGGGGGGGGGGGGGGUGUGAAAGAAAACAAAAUCUACAGGUAAACUUGCCUUCGUUUUGGUUCUGGCUCAUCACCAUCACCAUUCUCCUCCUUGAUUUUUACAUCGCCAUUAUCAUCAGAGUCACUUGCGCUCUGCCGUUUUCUUUCAGGAACUGAGGGUGUUUCUUGAAUAGGUUCUUUUGAAGAUGUGGACACCUCUGAAUCAUUAACCGUUCGGUAGGAAUGUUCUGCAGGAGCAACACUAUAUCUUACACACUCAGCAGAUAGUGCAAGCUUACUUUCCUUUAUGCAGAUACUUUUCCGAGGGGGAUCAUGAGUAUGUUGGCUUUUGUAAACAAUAUCUGUUACAUGGCCUGAGUGAUCACAGCAUUCUAUUUUCUUGGCAUAACACUCAGAAUAUGUGCACCUAUAAUAGCUUCGAGAACCUUGAGGGCUCUUUACUUGCUUCUGACCGUAUUUCCGCCAGUUGUAACCAUCUGAAGCAGAUGUCUUUCCAUGAGGAACUCUUCGUUCUAUUAGAAUUGGGCUUGGAGCAGAUGAAAUGGAUUGAGUGACAGAAGUUGGAGAUAGUUCUGAAAACGGAGUUGGAUAAACAGUCAACUGAGACUGACUUUGCUUCUGAAUCUGAACAUCUUGGUUUGUUACACUUGCCAAAAUUUCCUGGUGGCUCAGCCCAAGUUGCUCCUGAGAAAUAACAACGAAAAUGAUUAUACAACCAAAAUGUAGGGAACCAGAGGUUUGACUUUUAAUAACAAAGGGUGUACUAUUCUGGAGUUGCAUCAAAUUCAAACGAUGUUAUACAAGAUGCAUCUAAACCCAUGCCUCAAGUUAGACUGUUAGAGGUCUGAAUGAGAUGAUGUACGGUCAAUAAAGUUUCAAUGCUCCUCCCACCUAAGAAUAUAUAAGAAGACAGUUUAUAAAAGCCCUAAGAUAGUGGAGGUUCUUUCACAUGAGCUGAAGAAUACAUACACUAAAUGCUUGGUUACUGAUUUAUCAAAGAUUUUCUUUAUCUUCAGACACUUGUUAGUAUAAAUUGAUUAACACGUACUUUGGGUACACACCAUGCGUAUAGGUCACAUCUCCAUUGUUCUGUCAUUAAAGAUUAUUACUCCUAACAUCAAAGUACGAACAAGAGGAAAUCAAAUACAGUGAAGCAACUAAUAUUCCAUCUCGAGUCAACUGAAUUUGCCUUCUAGUGGAUCUAUCAUAAAAUAUAAAUAAUUUUCUCUUCGGAUCUUAUCUGAUCCCUGAGUGGCCAAAUUUCCUACUUUUGAACGUUUGCUUUUGAGUUCAAUACAUCCUGCCCAUUCCCGGUAUGAUGUGGGGUACCUGUGGUUUUGUAUUAAGGUGAAACUUGUUCUUUUGAGCCAUUAAUAGGUGAUCCUAGCCUACUAACUUUCAGUAAUGCAAAUUUUUGCUUCUAAUUGUCUCUUCGAUGAUUCUCUUCCAAUUACUCAAACAUCGCUUCGCCUCUCCAAAAAGCAAGCAGAUUACAAAGCUUUCCCUACUUGGUACCUAAUAAGAGCGCUUAACACUUGCAAAUCAACAUUAACUACAAGGCCGUAAUCACAAGGAUUUCAGAUUCAUGAUUCCAACCCGCAAACAAGAACUUCAACAAACUUGUUUGCCCUUAUCCCAUAGGAAACGCAUUCAUAGCUUUCAAUAUCCAACCGAGAAAAAAAAAGUAAUCUCAUUUCAAGCCAUAAUCUUCUCUAGUAUCCUAAUCCUAACCCUCAAAACAAUCAGUAACAUCACACAAUUAAAAAUGCUUAAGACUCACUUAGCCAACGAUCAAAAGCUCAGAAAUUUCAAAUGAUUGAACUUCUAACCUGCAAUUCAGCUCCAUCAAUCGACUGUGACACGGACUCAAGCUGCAAACCUGCAUGAUCAACCACACACGAUCACCCCCCUUCACCAUAAUCCCACCCAAAAAAACAAAAAAAAAACAAAAAAGGCACCGUUUUCCGAAAACACAAAGCUUUACCUGCAAACUGAUCCUUCUCUGAAAAUUCCUGCGUCGAAGGCUCCAUUAGGGUUUUUAAUUGUGUUUGCCUCAACUCGGAUACAGAACUCUUUAACUCGCCGGGUUGAAAUUCACCGAGUCGUUGUUUUCGUUCUUCGUCAUCGUCUUCGUCUCCGCUGCCGCCUUCUUCUUGUUCUCCUUUCCUUGGGUGUAGUUUCUCCGUUGGGAGAGCAUCGGAGCUCUCGUGGUGCUCCGCCAUGGCCGAUUUGUCACUCUCAGAGAGUAAAGUUUGUCGACACUGUUGGCGCUGUGCGUUUCGUAGUGUCCGAAAUCGAGCCGAAAUUUAGACCGAAAUCGUGAAAUGUUUCGGGUUCCGUGUACCGGUUUGAUUAGGGAGGGAGAGAGAAAGGCGGAGAGAGGGUUACUCUAAAGAGGGGGGAUAUAUGUAUGUCUUUGACUGGAAUUGACUCAGGUGGUUUUAAUGACGGUGUAACUGAAGCCGUUAAUAUCUCCGUUAUAUGAGAUGCAGGGAUCGCCGUGGGUUCUGCUGACUUGACGGUUUCUUGUAGACUGCCGUUUGGAGUCGGACGCAGCGACCCAUUUCUGUAAUUGUCUUAUUCUCUGUAUUAUUGUAUUAAUCAGAUUAAUUAGUUUAUUGCAUUAGAGUUAGUACUGUUGUGAGUCGUGAAGGAUUGAUUGAUCACACUUUUUGCAUUAAAUCUUAAAAGGAUUCGGUUCUCACUUUUAUUAAAACAAUAGUUGCCAGUUAGAAUAGUACCAAUGAAAUUCUUCUAUGUUUCAGUGCAUGACGUUUAUUAGAUUAAAUAAAAGUAUGUAUGGACGGUUAAGGAUCCAACAGUUAAAGAUUUAAUGGCCACAAAUGUCGUUGUGUAGGAAGAAAGUUGAAGUUUCACCAUAGGAAAUUUUAACGAAAAGCUCCCGCUACUGUUCACUUUAACGAAAAAUCACAUUUUUACAUUAAAAAGUCAAUCAUUGUACUAUUCACUUUACCGUUUAUUUUGUCUUUAUCGUUAAAACUCAAAGUUUUCAAGCUCUUUUCAUUAGUUUUCUUUAAUUAUAAGGAGUGAUCCAACUUACUUAUAAGUCCAGGCAAUGAUCAGAAUUGAAUAUUUUCUCGGUUUCCGAGAAGUGUCUUAAUGGGUCCAUCACUUUUCAAAACCUAACACGUAAAUAAUAUAACGGGGUAACGUGGAGCACGUGUGACCUUUUAACUUCACACGUGGCACAACUUGCUCUGAUACUUUGAAUAAAGUUGAGGUUCCACUAUACAACAAAUUGUCAAUAUUGGGAGUAACCCAACUUAUUUAUAAGUCUAGGUAAGGUCCCUCCUCCUAUCAAUGUGAGAAUCAUUCUCAACAAUAUAUUAUACACAAUGCAGUCUCUGAAAUCUCAAGAUUGUUAAGUAUAUGCUAUAAUGAAUAGCUUACACUCUAUUUAGAUAAAGAAAUUUAAUAUUACUAGGAAAUUUUAAAAUGAUAGAAUUUUAUUUUUUAGAAUUUGUGAAUUUUCUUGUUUGGUUAACCUAAAAGGACAAUGAAAUUUGAAUACAAAGUUUAUUAUUUCUAACGCUCAUUCAUAGAAAUUUAGAAAUAAUACAUAUUCACAUGGAAUUUAAACUUUGGAAAUUAGAGGUUCCAAAUUCUAAGUUUUUUUUCCACACAAAAAUUCUAAAUUUAUAUGAUUAUAAAUCCAAAUAAGAAACCUGAUGCAUGUCAAUUUAUUUACACAUGAAGAAUUUACAUGCAAUAAGAAUAUACUAAACCAAUCCUGGCAGGUUAUAUGGAAAAAUUAAGUACAUGAUGGUUAGUUUUUAAAAUAGCAGUAUAGACGGAAUAUCGAUAUGAAAAUUUAUGGAAAUAUCAAUAUGGAUAUCGGCUACCUUUGAUGAAAAUUUGGAAUAGGAUGGUAUAUCAACUUAUUAAAAUUUAGUUGAAAUUAGGAAGAAAAUUUCUCAAAAAAAUUCAAAAGUUCGACAUUUGAUAUGGUUUAUGACAAAAUUUAUGUAGUGAGAAUUAAAUAUUGUCGAAUAUUCAUUGAUUGUCCUUCCUCUUUUUUCCAUAUCAAUCUUUAAUUUUUCAGAUAUUUCAAAGAAAAUAUCGCCAACAUAAAUAUUUUAACGUUAAUAAUGAUACAUAAAAUAUUUGGAAUACCGAUUUAGCAUAUUGCUCGCAUAUAAGUUUCUCUUCGUCAACAAAGAAUGGACGUUUCGAUAUUUUGCAACCAUAUAUAUUCUUUUGAAAAGCUAUGUAAUAUGUCCUAGCUAGGAACAAAAAAUGUAUAGGUUUAUAGUGCCUUACUUUUAGGAUAAUGAUAUGAGUUCUAUCCAUACACCUCUUUUUACUUUUCACACAUCAUCUGUAAAUUUCUGUCACUUGAUAUUCUUCAAUUCAUCCGAUCAAACGGUUAAAUUUUUUAAUCACAUCUCUAAUGAUAUAAAAAGGACGGUUGGUAAAGUGUUAUCUCCCCCCUAAUUCGUCUCUAAUAAAAAAAAAAAUUAAUAACGAAUCCGAAUAUUGAUGAAUUUGUAAGAACAUUGAAGCUAGUUAAAAAAAUUGUCAGCAAAUCAAUAUCAAGUUAUCGAAUCCGAAUGUGUAUAUUCUGAAUUAAAAGGUGUGGUUGUGAAAUAUUGGUACAAAGUCAAAAAAUGUAAAAAGUGAAUGGCAAUGUGCUUUAUUCUAUCAGCUUCAGAAUAUUUGCCAAACCAAUUUGACAAUUCAAUCCCCUACAACCCCAACAACCAUCCCAAUCUCAGCCCAAUUAGUUGGGCCAAGACUGCCUAACCAGGAGAUUCUGACCCGACCCAGUACCAGAGUGGUCUGACGUCAGCAUGACAUCAACCACGUUAAAAAAAGUUGGAAACGUAUUUGCCUUUUUGAAACCGCCGCCCUAUGGAAUGCAUCCUGAAUUUAGAAUCGCUGCCUUGUGAAAUGGAAUGAGGAUCAUUAAAUCACGUCCGUUCAUCGUACAUUAUAUGAUUAAUUUUCAUCAAAUAUUAUUUAUAUUUAAUUUGAAGUAAAAAAAUUACAACAAUUUAUGAGUUCACGAUAUACGAUGAAUGGACGUGAUUGGAGAUAUCUGGAUCCUCACAAAGAGGAUCCGGAGAGGAUCCUCGUUCUUGUGAAAUGCAUCCUGAAUUGCCUUUUUGACUUCAUCGACGGAUCAACCACGACACAUUUCAGGACUUUGACGUCUUAUGGGUGGUGUUAUUCAAACUUCUUUUUACCUUUUCCGCUCCAUUCAAUUUUAACAUUUGGAUUAAUGAAUUAAAAAAUAUAAAAUGAUAUAAAUUAAUAAGAGAUGAGUGGGAAAUAAAAUCGAUGUGUGGAUAGCAUCACACAUAUUGAUUUGUUUCUUUCUGGUUAUGGAAAAACAAUCUUUUUCAUAACUCAAAACGCAACUAUACCACACUACCAAAAUUUUGAUUAAAAGCUUCCAAUUAAACUGCUUUGAUUAAAGAUUAAAGUUUAAAGGGAGAUUCUUGCUAGAAAGUUAAUAUUGACUGCCAAGAACAUAAUCAGACAGAUACAAUGGUGGUGCUUUGCUUAUUGAAAAAUUGGUAAUGUGCCCAAAUCUGUGCGUGGAACAAAACUUACAUGCCCGGAAUUUGUAUUUCUUGUGUCUACCACACUCAACAUCUGAAAGAUUAUAGACUCGAGAGUGAGUUUAAGGUGGAUUAAGAGGGUGUCGGAAGCAUAAAAUUUGAGAACUUUUUUACGAGUUGAGGUGGAUUACAACACAUUGGAGCUCCUUUUAAGGUCCAUCUCUCCUACUAAUCCCUUGAAGUGAUCUAAUGAGUGACGUAGACAUGAGAAUUUACAUUGGUAAAUCUUUUGUGUUUGUGGUGCCAUUAAGUAUUCACAUGGUAAUAAUUUAAUGAUCGUAUUGUACUUAUGAGUUCACUAACAAGAUGAUAUCAAGAAGGCUUCAUGACUAUGACAGCUCCCACGCCAUGUGAAAAUGGGUUGGGCUAAAAUAUAGACACAUCCCAUGCUUUUGGGAUCGGGGGAUGGGGCGGGCCCGGAGGUGCCCUUCUUCUUCGCCUCCAAUAGGUUACAUGAUUACAUCUGUGUGGCUUAAAUUUCGGGGAGACUAGCGCAUCAACACAGCACGCCACCACGCCUUCCCACGUAAAUCUUAAUUUGAUCCAAGAGGGAAUCAAACCACGACUAUUUAAUAUGAGUAAUUUUCAUAACACGAGUAGAAAACAAUCCUUACAUUAUGUGACAAUCGUUUUCCAACUUCGGGUUCGAGAGAUGAACGGUUCUUCAAAUGGUUCACAUGACGAGGAUGAGAGGAGACAAUGGGGAUACGAAAGCAGUAUAUUAUGAUAUGCAAGUUGAAGAUGAAUGAACACGACUCGAUGAAACACUGACAAAUGCCUGGCUUGGCACCGAGUUCUGAAGAAGCAGGGGGAGAGGGAAUGGUUGGUGAGGGGGAUACUGAAGUUUUCCACAAAAUUCAGAUCAUUUCAUGUAAAUUUCCUUUUUAGGUGGUCGCGUGGGCUAGCAAAUUUUGGGGAGUAAACAUUUUACUUUACGAGGAAUGCUAGAGAUGUAUCAAUUAGAAAUUUAAGGAAUUUUAAUUCUUUUAAUGAAUUCAGGAGUAUUCAAUUAGGAUUUUAAGUUAUUCUCUAAAAUUUAAUGUGUAUUCAAUCAAUAUUUUAAGAUAGAUUAUUAAAAUCCUUAGAAAUCCAGGUAUAUUCAAUCAAAAUUUUAAAGAAAUUUAUAACAUUCUAGGUGUAUUCAAUUAGAAUUUGAAUGUAAAGAAUUAGGAAAAGUUAAGAAAUUUGAGAGAAUUUGAGAUAUUUUAUAAUGUAUUUUAAGCAUCUAUAAAUCUCACUUCUCCCUAUGAGAUUUUAAGGGAAUUGAAUCAAAAUUUUAUAUGAAAUCUUUACAAAUCAGUUAAACAUCAUAAAAAUCCAUGGAUUUAUAAAUUCAUUAAAAUAUCUUAAAUUCCCAAUUGAAUACUCCCUACACUCAUACAAAUCAAUUAUUAUAACACUCGCAUGAAAAUUGACGUUAAAAUGUAAGGUAACAAAUCAUUUAUAAAGAGCCGCUCUUUGAAAAUGUAUGUGCUUUUUACCAAACGUGGUUUGUAUGAGUAAUUGCCUUCAUUACUGGUAUAAACGAUGAGUGAAAGGCUGAAUCCAAACACGUGGCCUUUCGUUGUCCAAUCAAAUAUAUAAUACAAACAAAUUAAAUAAUAGACGAUAUUCCUUCACAGCUCACAAGGAGUCAAAAUUCAGAAUACAAAACGUACGCCAUUUCAAUUUCCAACCUAUCCCAGAAUCAAAGGUAUGCGAUAUGCAUGGUCCUGGCUCUGAAUCGUAACUAAUGCAGCCGCUGCUCGAGUCGGGUCAGUCGCUAAUCACUUCAUUUUUACUUCAUUUUUUUCUGGUGUUUUUUUUUUAUAAAUAUAUUAUAUUCCAUUUGGUGUUGAUUGGUUGCUGGGAAAAAUGCAUGACAGAAAUUAAAUAAUUUAAUUAAAAUUUUCAUUUUGUUUGUGUGUUUGUAUAGAUAACUUGUGGGGUGUGUGUAUAAAACUUAAAAGAAUUGGAAUUGGAAUUGGAUUGACUAGAAAUAGGCUAAUUACUGUGAAGAAAGUAUGUAAAUUGCUGAGUGGAAAUUACCCAAAUUUGGAGUUAUAUUUGGUUCUCCAAAGUUCAAAUCUUUCAGCUGCACAGCUUGAAAUUGAGUAAAGGGUAGGCCUCUUUCUGCUCCUAUCAGCUGCUUCAACUAGUAUGUUUUCUGCUUUAGAACCACCUGCCAUAGUUGUAGAUUAAAAGAAUACAAGACGAGAAGGCAUUCGUUUUAUGGAUAUGCAAAAGCUCGGAAAUCGGGUUUAUUCCUGUAAAUUUUAGUUGGUUUGCUUUGAAUUUUUGUGUAGAGAUUUUGUUUGGUAUAGGUAUUGUAUUUGGUUUCUUUACUGCAGUCUGCAGAGAGAUUGUUUUGAUGCAGUUUGCUUUUGGUUUUGGUUCCUAAUUUCUUUUUGAGUUUGGUUUGGCCUCAGUAGAUAGGCGUCGCGUGGACUUGGUUAUUGAACAUUCAAACUUGAGGGUCCGUCUGAUAACCAUUUCAUUUCGCAUGUUCUUUGGUCUCCUUUCCUAUUAUAUUUUUCCCUCCACUCUAAUUCCUCUUGUUUCUCUACAUCUGUAUGGCAUCAUCACUUUCAUGGUAGAUUCAGUAUUUUCCAUUUACAGCAUAUAUUUAUGGCAUUGAGUAAUCUUCCUUUUCGUGGAACAAAAAGAGACGUGGUUAAUUUGAAACCAUGGUUUUGCACGGUUAAAGGGAUUACAAGCAUGUACAUUCUGUGGGGACUUAAAUCCCAAGAUUUCAUACCCUUUUUAAUGAAGUUUUCUUGAUUGAGUUUUUCACUGUGAAUUCCUUGAUUGUCGUUUAAUGAGUUUAGCAUGCGUUAAUUCUCAUGAUCGUGAAUUCAUGUCAGGGGAAAGAAUGGAGGAGGAAUCGCCAAAACCUCCCGUUUCAUUAUGGGGCCGGGUUUCUGCCAUUGAGACAAGGGCUCGGGAAGCAUACAAAAGCAAGCCAAUCUCGCAUUGGAUUCUCCUUGUCCUUAGCAGUGGGGGCAUGCUUAUAGCGUUUCCUGCAUCUAGUCUUCUUUCUCGUGUGUAUUAUGCCAAUGGAGGCACUAGCAAGUGGAUCAUUUCAUGGGUUGCCGUAGCAGGGUGGCCUCUGAUUGCUUUAAUCUUAUUGCCUACGUACUUCGUCUGCAAAACGACCCCUACUCCCCUGAAUUUAAAACUUACUGUUUCUUAUAUUGUGCUAGGUCUAUUAAGUGCCGCUGACAAUCUUAUGUAUGCUUAUGCAUAUGCUUACCUCCCAGCAUCUACCGCUUCUCUUCUUGCAUCAUCAUCUCUAGUAUUUUCUGCAUUAUUCGGGCACCUACUUGUGAACAACAAACUUAAUGCAGCGAUAGUAAAUGCUAUUUUUAUCAUUACAGCUGCUAUGACCAUCAUUGCUCUGGAUUCAGAUUCAGACAGAUAUGGAAAUGUAACUGAUAAGCAAUACAUUCUGGGAUUUGUGUGGGAUAUUUUAGGAUCAGCACUCCACGGGCUUAUUUUCGCUCUUUCAGAGCUGGUUUUCGUGAAGCUACUUGGUAGAAGGUCCUUCCAUGUUGUGUUGGAGCAGCAAGUCAUGGUUUCUUUCUUUGCUUUCGUGUUCACCACUAUCGGAGUAAUCGUGAAUAAGGAUUUUCAGGGAAUGAAAAACGAGGCCGGAAUUUUCAAGGGCGGUAAGUCUGCUUAUUACCUUGUUCUCAUUUGGAGUGUCAUCAGUUUCCAGUUAGGGGUAUUAGGGGCUACUGCUGUGCUUUUCUUAUCUUCCACCGUUCUCGCCGGUGUGCUGAACGCAGUAAGGGUUCCCCUCACCAGCAUUGCAGCUGUCAUAUUGUUAAAAGACCCGAUGAGCGGGUUGAAGAUCCUCUCUCUGAUUGUUACGUUUUGGGGCUUUGGCUGCUACAUCUAUGGCAGUUCCUCUGCAUCUUCAAGUAGAGAUUCCUCUUGAUAUUUUGUUUUCUGGUUCAUUUGGGUUUAUAUGUUUAUCAUAUCCUAAUGUAGUGAAUUGCUUGGUUAUCAUACAUAUUCCUUCCAAAUGAUAUAAGGAUAUACUUUUUAUAUGUAUAGCUCUGCUUUUGUCUCAAAAUUUUACUUAAACAUUCGGAAAAAACGGUGAAGAUUGUUUAAAAAGUCGAACUACAUGCAUCAACGUUUGCAAAGGAUUCUUCUCGACAAUCGUAAUUGCGUGCAUCAAUCUAGCGUCUGCAUCCAUUUUUUUAUUUUUUUUUAGAAGAAUCAAUUUUAUUAAAGAAUAGAGAAAUACACAGAAGUGGAUAAGAAGUCCACCAACUAUAUUAGAAAGGAAAAUCCCAAUAGGAUUUGGCUACAGCAGCCAUUUCUAGACCUAGCUCACUCAACUGCUGCUAACAAAUCCCACAGUAUUUGAGAUAGAGAGCAAUUAUUGAACUCUUUAGUGAUCGAAGCCCAAAAAGCUGCCCAAUAUUUUACCCUCCUCCAAAGUACUUCUGCCCCCACUUCAGUAUAGUCUUCAAAAAUCCUUUUGUUGCGUUCCAACCAUAUAUUCCAAAAAAAUGCUGAUACCAGGCAACCCCACAAAGCUUUGGAUUUCUUCCCUUUUCCAAGUGCCUUAAAAUUUGUAACUAGUAGCUCGAAACACCCUUUAGGAAUGACCCAACUUACUUUAACCUCCUGAAACAGUUUCCACCACAGUUGGAUCGAGUAGGAGCAAUGAAGAAAGAUGUGAUUUACACUCGCCUCCUUAGCUUUGCACAAGCUACACCAAUGUGGGGAUAAACACAUAAGAGGGGGGAGCAUUUUUGCUCACCACCAUAAACUAUGGUGUAUGCUCACCAUACACCUAAUCAAUUGACACGUGUCAUCUAACUUAAUCUUGGUUAAUUUUUUUCAAAAUUGAAAAACUAACAUUUAAUGUGAAAGUUAACUAGAGUUAAGUGAAAUGACACGUGUCUAUUAAUUAGAUGUAUGGUUAGCAUACACCAUAGUUUAUGGUGGUGAGCAAAAAUGCUCCCAUAAGAGGGUUUCUCCUUUGAACUCUGUCGCAAGUGUUGAGAUUCCCAUUGGCCACAAGCCAUACAAGUAUUUUAACCUUUGGAGGAGCUUUUGAUUUCCAAAUUUGAGAGUAGGGUGGAUAAUAGUGCAGAAUCCCAUUGUUGCUUAGUAAUGAACGAUAGGAUUUGCAUGUGAACAAACCUGAAGCUUCCAGAUUCCACCUUAUGUUAUCCAUUUUUGAUAGAGACAAGCGAACCUCUUCCACUUUCUGUAAUAAUGUGGCCGCCUCUUCUAUCUCCAUCUCAUUCAGAUUUCUCCUAAAGUUAAAGUUCCAACUCAAGGAAUUUGACGAAACUUCCACGAAGCUCGAGAUGUUAUGAUUGUGCUUCCUCAAUAGUAGGAAUAAUCUGGGGAAUUGCUCCUUCAGCGGUCCCCCUGCUAACCACCCAUCCUCCCAAAACCUCACCCUCUCUCCGUUGCCCACCUCAAACUUGCAACAUCUAAGAAAUUGAUGAGAACCACUCAAAAUGUCUUUCCAUGGGCUACGACUUGAAACCCUUCUUGGAGGAAGUGCAUUCCAUCCAUUAACUUGUAGCCCAUACUUGCUUCUUAUCACCUUGUGCCAUAGAGACUAAGACUCCAUUGGGAAUCUCCACAACCACUUAGACAAUAAUGCUUCGUUCUGAUUCCUCAAAUUCCCCACCCCUGGACCUCCUUCCCCCUUGUUUUUAGUAACUAACUCCCAUUUGACCAAAUGGGUUUUCUUACCUUCCUCCACGCCUUCCCAGAGAAACCCCUUCAUUAGUUUUUCCAGACGUCCUCUUACCCCGCAAGGAAUUUUGAACAAGGACAUCUAGUAAAUCGGCAAGCUUCCCAAGAUUGAUUGAAUUAGAGUUAUAGUGUCUGCAUCCAUACGUCCCAAUGUAUCUAACAAGUCGCACUAUACGUCAAUACGAGCGAAAAUAAGCACGAAACGUGAUGUCAUAAAAUUGACAGUGAAACAGAAAUUCAACUCUUGCGAAGAAAAAAAGGAUGACAGUAACAACGAUUCAACAUGUGAAGCAUCAGCAACCAAAACAAAGCAUCCGAAACAUCAGAACAUAAACCUUAACAAAGAUUUAACAUCAAAAUAUUUCAUUUGUUGGAAAAAAACCCAGAGAAAUAGUAUCAUAGAUAUGCAGCAAGCCCCCUUUGCCAAGGGAUCCGGCAGCUAUAAAUCUUCUUUGCGUCAUCACUUUUACAAGCUUGGCAAGAUAAAACACCAUUUAAAACAAAGGUUUCAUUGCAAGGUUAAUAUGGUUCCACCAAAAAUAAAAGUAAAAGCAAAGAACGUCUUGCCAUCAGCUAGAGCUACUGCUACAGCAUCAUACUUAAUUCUUCGGACCAAUGUCCUUGAGGGCACAGAUCUGCUCCUCACCCAUGGCAGACAUGACGGUCACCACAAGAUCCUUUCCAUCAUUAAACCCGUCCUUGAUCUAUAAAAAACACAGAAAAUGAAAAGCUUUAGUCGAAUACGAAGAAAAGAGAUACAAAUUACAAUAAAGCAACCACGGUAUAUGAGUUUUUUUCUUUGCUUGAUGAGAUAGAUACCUGGGUAAGCAGACUGUCGUCAGUGGGAAGCCUCAGAUCAUCCUUGGUGUUUCCAUUUUCAGUCAAAAGACUCACCUACAACAUGUCGAACUCCAGUUAGAGCAAAUAAAAUGGAAGAAAUGCAUGUCAAAAGAAAUAUAUAACUUCCGUUAACAUAACACAGACAGAGAAGAAAAUUAUCGUGAAACUCCCAAAUAUAAAUUCAUGCGUCAAAAUCUCAAAUAAUAGAUGAUUCUACUGUCUUAAGUUUGCUUCCUUUGGUAUCAUCAUUACCAUCGAAGCGCACAUAAAUUCACAUAACAAUCAAAAUUUCUGAUGACAUCCUUGGAACUAAUUGUCAAGAAAACUUACAAAGCCAUCCUCAGAGAUAUCAAUCAGCUGGUAGUCAGUACGGUUGACAUGGGGAACCUGAAAAAACAAUGAUAAAUAAGCGGAGAAUGAAUGAUCCAACUUAAAACCAAGAAAUACAACACAUACAAAGAUACACAAUUUCACAAAAGACAAAUUUCUCGAAAGCAAUUACAUCACAAUUGUGGGACGAAGGAACAAUAUCUUCAAGCUUCUUUCCAUUGAAAAUAUCAAUUGCCACAAAGUGGCACUUAGCGUGACCGUGCUUUCCAGUUUUGGAGGUGGAGACUUCAACAACCUGUAAUGAGAGCAAACAUGAUUUUAACUGAGAAUGGAUUAAUCAAAUCAAGCAUUCAUAUAGAAAUAAUAUACAAGGAUGAUGAGCACUAAAAUUUCAGUUUUAUUAGUUGGUCAGAUAAGAAAAAUUGGGAUUUACGGUUCAAUUUACAGCACAAAAACUUUAGAUAUCAAUAAGGACCAGUUGUAUUUGUGUACAGAGUGUGUGCGUUUGUGCUAAGCCCCAACACAACAAAUCUAGACCUACACAAAGAUGCCAUGGAUUUAAUUGCCAGCCCUAAUAAUUGUAACAAACGAAUGCGCAAUACCGAGUUUUACUUGUGUAUGACUGUAUGUGUGCUACGUGAUAAAUCGAUUGCGUCCACAAGAUUCGUUACUGACUACUCCCUCUGAGUACCCAGCAUGAGAGCCAAACAUUAACAACAAAUUCAAAAACACUAAACUCCCAACAAAUAAAUUGCAAUCCCCAAAUCUUUCGAUUCGACAACAUCACCACCAUUAACAACACAAACAAAUAAACAAAUAAUCAUCCGCAACAAUAAACAUAGGAAUUAACAACACAAACAAAUAAUCAUCCACAACAAUGAGAUCAUGAAUAAUCAAAUACCAAAACCAAAUCAACAAAAUACACAGCAAAGCAAACAAAUUCAAUCAAAGCUUGAAAACCCAACAAAGAUCUGUCGAAACCACAAAACCCAGAUGAAUUUUGACCCAAAAGCCCUGAAAAAUUGCAUCUCGAAUUCGAAAAAUUAGGGAAGAAAUAGACCUUGCAAGGUCUGGCCUUGAUGACGAUGUAGCCAUUCUUGCGGAUGGUACCAGCCUGCUGGGGAUAGGUCUUAGAUGCGCCGGCGUCGGCCUUGGAUUCGAACUGGUGCUCCUCGUCCGACAUCUCUCUGCCUCCGAAGUUGAUGACCGAGCUUCUCUGUCCCCCUUGGGUUUUCUCUUUGUUUCUGCUAAAACAACGAAAGAGGGCGACUUCUGGUUUUGGGACUGCAACCGGCUCUAUAUUCCAAGGUUUCUAGGUCAUCUGUUAACCAUGGUUACUCAGAUCGAUUCUCCACCGUUGGAUCUGUUAUAAACUUAUCCAAAAAGAAUAGAAGAAAGAGGAGGUUAUCCAUCCCUUUCUUUUUUAUUAUUAUUUUUCUUUUCAAUUUUCUUAUUUAAUUUUUUAAAUGAAUUAUAAAUAUAUGUUUUCACACAGAUAAAUAAACUAAACUCUUGUGAACUAAAUAAAUUAUAUGACUAAAUACUUAUAACGGCAUAUUUUUUAAAUAUGAGUGUCAACAACAAAUUGUUCACGAUUAAAUACUUAUAAUUUUUAGUGCGGUUAACUGCAUAUUUUCAAAAUAUGAGUAUGAACAAUAAAUUGUUCGCAUUUAUUGAAUGUCUUUUAAUAGUAUGAUUGUUUGCCGUCCAUAAAUUUUACUGAAAAUGAAAUUAAUCAUGCAGAAAAAUAUCAUAUAAAUAAAAGUUAAAUAUAUUUACUUGAUAUAAUUUCACUCGCCAUCAAAUCGUAGCAAAAUAGUAGAAUAUGCCGCAUAGUGAUGGAAUUUAUUUUAUUUUUUUGGGAGCAAAGUGGUGGAAUAUUUUAUCACUAUCAAAUUCACCACAGUUCUUAUCAUAGUUGAACUAAAAACCACUAGGUUGACUUUUACGUGUUCUCCGGAAUAGGAUUGGAAUUCAGAUGAUGAAUUAAUCGUGUUUGUUCAUCGUAUAUCAUACGAUUAUAAAUAUUUUAAAUUUAAAAUUGAAUAUAAAUAGUACCUAACGAAAACUGACUGCACAAUGUACGAUGAACGAACACGAUUGAUUGAUCUCCAGAUCCCCACAAAGAGGAUUAGGAGAUGAUCCUUAUCUGUGUUUUCCAUAUUAAUACUUAUUCAUAAUUAUAAAGAAAACUAUUUUUUCUCAAUUUUGUCUAAAUCCCUUUGUUUCUUUACUCUUUUUUUAUUUCUUUUUCCUAAUUUUAAAUUGUCUUAUUCCACAAAUUCAUGGUCUCACAAGAUAAAUAUUUUUUUUAAAUAAAAUCAGUUCGUGACUUCACCACACAGCAGUCUACUACUCUAGGAGCCAAUAAAGCUCAUAGUGAUGCCUCCAUUGCUAACUAUUUGUAGUUUAUCGACGUCAGGAAUUAUCUUAUAAAUAUAAGGAAAUUUUAACGAAAAACUCAUGAUACUGUUCAUUUUAACGAAAAACCAUAUUUUUACACUAAAAAUCAAUUAUGAUACUUUACCCUUUAUUUUGUUCUUAUCGUUAGAACUCAGAAUUUUCAAAUUAUUUUCAUUAGUUUUCUUUAAAUAAAAAUAGCUCACACUAAACGUUCACGUCUCUCCUCUUUUAAAGGAUGCCGUAUUGGACUUGGACCGAACUAAAGAAUCAUAUGCCCAUUACAACUCUUCAUGGGCCCAUCAAUUAUUCCAACGAACAAAACCAAUUAGUUAACCAUGCAAAAAUGCUAUAUUUUCUUAGCUCCCAUAUUAUUCCACAAUAUUUUCUUUUUCUUUGACCAAAGAUUUUUUGAAAAUAAGAUAUAUAAUAUUUUAUUGAAUAAAAUUAAUUACAAUGCUGGAGCAAUAUAAUUUUGAAAAAAAAGAAUCGGUUCUUCGAUUUAAUUUCAAGAGAUAUUGAAAUAAAAAACAUUCAUGACACCAUAUAGGAGUAAAACUUCUAUAAUUAUCAGUACGCACUGGACCGAUCAUGUUAAAGAAAUGGGAAAACAAUGUAGGUAAAACCUAAAUUUGAUGACAAAAUACUUCAUCAUCAUUAUGGAUUCUUUCAUAUACCAUUCCAUUCCACUAUGAGUUUGAGGCUUAGGGUUUUAGAGAUGGAAAGGUUAUGCAAAAAGGUGUAAAUGAAAGGGAGAAAUUGUGUAUAAUUAUGCUACGGGUGCCAUUGCGGCAUGGCGUUCUAUGUUAAUGAUACUAUCAUAAAGGAGAAAAAUUUACACAUGAUAUUGUAUCAUUGAAACAAGAUAUCACAGUUCGAUGUACUUGUACUAAUUAGAAGAUAUAUCAAUUAUGAAUAUAUGUGAUUUAUUUGGUGUCUCUCUCCGACCGCUUGUGUUAUAUUUGAUAUUGCAUCUUCAUGUGGAGUGACUGCGAGGGACCAUUCCCUUACUCAGAAAAAGGGAGAGACACACUGUAACGUCCCGACCCGAAUUUUUUGUUUUGGAAUUUAUAUUUAAUGGUAGGGCAAAAAAUAAACUCUUGAUUACUUACUACCAUUAAUCCCAAUUUAUUUAAUAAAUUCUUAAUUUCUCACAAAAUCUAUAGCUAAAUUUAUUUGCCAAAAACAUAGGAUUAAUCUUUAAACUAAACACCCAAUCCCCUUUCUUAUUUCUAAUUUUCGAUAAAGAUUAAUCUCGGUUAUUUUAAGGCUGGAUCUAACUCUCGUUAGACUACCUACAUACCCUUGAACGGGAUCAAGCAUUUCGUAGUUCACAAUUUCAUUUCUAGUCUAUUUUAAAAAAUAUUCAACUAGUGGAAAUAUUCAAUAUUGAACUUUAACAAUCGAAUCACAUUGAAUGGAUACUAAUUACGAAUUUAAAAUAUCGAAUUUUGUGUAAAAAGGCAAUAUCGGCCCAUUGGCCACGCGCCGUCGCCGCUGAUGGUGGUUUCUGGCGAACAGAAACCAAAUUUUCUGACUAACUCUAAAAAUUACCAAAUUUUAUAGACAAAUAGUGUAAUACCCUGAAAAAUGUAAAUAUAGGAAUUUGGUAUUCAUAAUUAUGAAUAUGUAAAAAGAAUUGGGAAUUUAUAUUAAUUCAUAAAAUUUUCGCUUUAAAAUAAACUAGUUACGAGGUUUAAAGUUUGGAUAUUAAUUAUUGAAAAUUUGUAGACCUUUCAAGGUCAAAAUUUAUGUACGGAACGCAAUUUGGAGAUAUAAUGAAGAAGUUAUUAACGCUUAAAGUCGAGGGUAAAAUUGUAAAUUUAUCAUUUAUAAAAUGCUCUAGAUUUUUUUAGCCAGAUCUAGAAGGCCACGUGUGUGGCCCAGAUUAAAAGUAAGAAAAGUUAGGCGGUGGAGAUGGAAGAUAAAGGAGAGAAAUGAGGGAGAGACAAGCCAAUGAGGAAAGGGGGAGAUGAGUGAGAGACCAAUGGGGAGAGAGAACCGGGAGGGAAAGGAGAGGAAGGGGACAAGGGGAAUCGGGACCCGGGCCUUGGUGACCCGACCCGGUUCAGCGCCACACAUAUUUCCGAUGGAAUUUCACCCAUUUUUUCCGGUGAAUUGGGUCAAACAACCAUUUGGAAACCCCUCCACAACCUUCCGUCUCCCUAUUACCACCAAAAAUCAUGAAGUUUGGUCUUGAAAUUGGGAAGAACACACCCGAGGGUGCCGCGACCUACCUUGCUUAAAUCCCACCAAAUCUGAAAUGAUUUGAUUAAAUUUCCACCACCAGUAGACUCAUAUUAACCCCAAUAACAAACCCCAAGCAAUGGUUAGGGCGUCGGAGUUUGUUUGAAGUCGAAUCAAGGAUACCCAUUUCUAGGGUUCCAGCGGGUUUGGGCCAAAUUGGAGCCUUUCUAGACAAAAUUGGAUUGGCCAUAGGUAUAAAGUUUUCUCUACUCUUUGAGAUCUUCAUUUCUGUAAUUUUUGAGAAUUUUAGAAAUAAUUGAAUUUUUCGGCCAGUCGAGGCGGCCAACCGCCACCCGUGGCGGCGGGUGCAGCAGCGCAUGGCCAGGGAGCCGACAAUUGUUCUUUAUGAGAAUUUCAUUAUUCUAAUUAUGUUUUUGAGAUCAAAAUUGUUGUGGUUUGAAUAUUAAUAUGAUUUUGGUAUAUGUUGGAUUAACUGCAUAUAUUCAGAUUUGUUUAAUUUUGGAAUUAGUGAACUACGAAAUGCUUGAUCCCACUCCAGGGUACGUAGGCAGUCUAACAGUGUUAGAUGCAGCCUUAAAUAACCCGAAAAAUAAUUCUUACAAUGAGAAGUGUGUUAUAAAAGGAAAUAGAGACAAGAUGAUAAUAAAUUUGUACGUUUGGUGUUUAAUUUUUUUUAUUUAUUUAUGAAUCAAGGUCGGAAACAAGACAUAGAAUUAAAGGAAGGGAUUUAGUAAAUAAUUUGAGUUUUUACCUUAUUUUUUUUAGUCGAUUUUGAAUGUAAGGUAAGGAUUAGAGAAUUGACUAUGGUAGAAAACAAACAAUUAAUGGUAAUCAACUAAACAUGAUUUUUAAGUUGGGCCUAUCAAAAGUAAUAACAUCAUUUCCCGAAUUAAAGAAUUUAUUCGGGGCGGGGUGUUACAAGUAGAGUUCAAUGAAAGGAACAACAUUCAUGCCUGGGCCAAAGUCUAAUUCGACCGGGAAACACCUGAAAUCGCCCUUGAUUCGCCAGAAACCGCCACCGGCAGCGGCACGUGGCCAGUGGGCCGAUAUUGCCUUUUUACACAAAAUUCGAUAUUUUAAAUCCGUAAUUAGUAUCCAUUCAAUGUGAUUCGAUUGUUAAAGUUCAAUAUUGAAUAUUUCCGCUACUUGAAUAUUUUCGAAAAUGGACUAGAAAUGAAAUUGUGAACUAUGAAAGGCUUGAUCCCGUUCAAGGGUAUGUAGGCAGUCUAACGGGAGUUAGAUGCAGCCUUAAAAUAACCGAUAUUAAUCUUUAUCGAAAAUUAGAAAUAAGAAAAGGAAUUGGGUGUUUAGUUUAAAGAUUAAUCCUAUGUUUUUGGUAAAUAAAUUUAACUAUCGAUUUUGUGAGAAAUUAAGAAUUUAUUAAAUAAAUUGUAAUGAAUUGUAGUAAGUAAACAAGAGUUUAUUUUUGGCCUACCACUAAAUGUAAAUUCCGAAAUUAGUUUCUAAAAUAAAAAAUUUUGGGUCGGGGCGUUACACACGCAUGUAGAAGAAAUGGUCCAUCCACAUAAAAACCAAAGCCUAUAAAAAACUAAAACUACUUUGAGCCACUGACACUAUGUUCUAGCGGUAUUCAUGUUAUGUCUGUUUGUAAGUGAUAGGUUUUAGAUUUGACUCCAAUAAAUAACAAGUUCGACACAAUUACUAUUGCCCAUUUUGUGGCUUAGCUCAACCUCUGCCCCUAAUGUCGUUGUCUCACGAAAAGAAAAGAAAAACUUUGAAAUUAAAUCCUUAAUAUAUUGUUAAUUGGGGACCACUUUGUUGAAUAAUUGAAUUGGUUCUCAUGCAUGUUGCACAUAGUGCGGUUAAUUGAGUGUGAAUUAGUCUAUCUACUAAGCAUGAAUCAUGUUUUUUGUUUUAAAGGACCUACUAGUGGCUUUGCCACGACAGUCCAUCUUCUUGGGAGUUGAGAGACUCACAUAGACAUUUCAGCAUCUCCUAGUCACUACGUGUGAUUCAUUAGCACCAUAAACCUAAUCCAAAACAUGCCGUGUAGAAUAUGAGCUUGAAAUUCGUUCCCAACUAUUGGGUCAUCCUGUAGUGGUUACUAAGCAUGAAUCUUUCGCAUUUUGUUUUUUGAAGAAACAUGCGCUCCUUUGCAAGUUAUUAUGACGAGGCUGGCACUUGGCAACUUGGCAACUUGGCAUGCAUGCCAUGCUGCUUCCAAUUCUACCAGUACGAAAUGUCCUUAAAUGAGUGUGAUUUAGCCUAUCUCCUAAACCAGUCGUGAAAUUUAAACUCAUUUAACGGAUUAGCUGUCCACUGUAAACAGUAACAUCUAAUCCGGUAACAACACUCACGAAGCUGCAGUUUGGCACCGAGGGAAAGUACGCGAUUUUCGUAUAUGUUGAUGGACAUCCCGUGUUAACAAGCGCAUGUAGUUUUAAUGUGUAGGGACGUACGUAUAUACAUACACAGCCUGUAAAUUUUGCUUUUGGUUUAAGCAUCGAUGGUUGACGGUGGAAAAAGGUGGUCCAGGACAUUACUGCGAGUGCCAGAACGAGCUAGCUCUCCUGGCUCGUCUGUGAGUCUCUGACUAACCACCACUAGGUUCCCUACCGCUACCUGCAUCCUGUUCGUGUGCAUAAAAUACUGACAGACAAUGUAGCAUAUCGGACAGGCAACGGAAGGAAUUCACCAUCAAUGUUCACGACAGAUGAGAGAAACACAAAUCAUAAGUUCAUAAUUAAUACGAAAGAUUUCACAUCGAACGAACUAGUUUUGCUUUAGAGUUUAGUCUACAAGGCUUCUCAUAGAACCAAAUCGGUAACCAAGUUACGAAAUUCUGAUAAGGGUACUGCAACAUCUGAACAAAUCAAACUCCUUUGUAUACAAUAUAUAUUAAACUUCCAUUUCAUGUCACCAGCAAUGAGAAACGAAAGGAAAGAGCGAGUGCACGACAUGAAAAUUCCAAACAGAAUUUCCAUGGCUACUGUACAAUUUCUCAAGGCGGAAAAGAAGAACCGACUAUAACAGCCAACAAGAACAAGCUAAUAAGUAGGAAAACAAAAGCUAAACCAAAAACACUCACAUAUUCCUUUUUUCAGCUCAAUUUGUUCUUCAUUAGAUACCUGUUUGCUCGAUAUCCUUAAGAAGUCCGACAAUCUGAUGCAUGCUUGGUCGCUUUGAGGGAAGGUCAGCUGUGCACAGAUAUCCAAUCUUCAGGGCCUCCUCCAUUUGGUCAUCUGGUCCUGUGUCACGAAUUUUUGGAUCAAUAGCGCUCGACCCUUUGUUCUUUCUAAUCAAUCCUCUAACCCAGCUCACCAAGGUUGCAUCUUUCUCCUCUGGAUAGUCAUCGCCAUAUGGCUUCUUCGAAGUAAUCAGCUCAAAAAGAACAACUCCAAAGCAAUACACAUCAGAUUUUGGAGUUGGAGAAUCAUACUCGGACUGAGAAAACUCCGGUGGCACAUACCCUGGUGACCCUCGAGAGAUCUCUUCAUCUAGGCCACUGCCGAAAAUCUUAGCCAGACCAAAAUCAGAUAAUCUAGGCUCUAAGUUAUAAUCCAGAUAGACACUACUAGCUUUAACGUCUCUAUGAAUAAUCGGAGGUGAGCAACCGUGGUGUAGAAAUGCCAGUGCUCUGGCAGUGCCAAGUGCAAUCUUGUGACGGAACCUCCACGAUGUUAACAACCCUUCAGAACCAACAUUUUGAAUGUCAUUGUUGUCUUCCUGUUCCCAAGUAUCUGUGCUCCAAUCCUCUGUUGUUUGCAGUACCCCGAGUGGCAAGUCAUGAAGCAAAUUCUGUAGAUUCCCGUUCUCCAUGUAGUCAUAGAUAGCAAUCCUUUGGUCCCCGGCCAAGCAAUAUCCAGUCAAUGGAACAAGAUUAGGGUGUUUGAUUCGACCGAGAUACUCAAACUCUCUUGCAGCUUCCUGGUCUGUCAUUGUAGAACCGUGGACCAAAACUUUCACCGCUACAUGGAUUCCACCCGGUAGAAAUCCUCUAUAAACAGGCCCGAAUUUCCCUUCAGCCAAAAGGUUUCCUCGAUCAAAGUUCGAAGUUGCAGAUAAGAGGUCUGAGAAUGUGAAAUUCAACAAUGGCUUCUCGAAAAUCACUACAGGUACUGAAUUUGCUUGCUUAACAUCUGCAACCCAUGUUGUUGAAUCGGUCUGGAAGGAAAAGGGGCCUGAUACGUUUUGCUCUUCCUUGUGUGAGGUUUGUUUUACCUCCCACAUUCUGGUUUUCCUUCUGCAACCAACUGCUAGAAACAGCAAACCAGCAAGCAAGCAUACCAUUGAGAAGGUCAAAACCAAAGCAAGCUUUAGACCCUUUUGCUGCCUAGCCUUAUUGGAUUGUGCUCUAAAAAGGUCCGGUUUUGCUGCAAUGGGACAGCUGUUUGUUGAACCAAAGAAAGAUGCUUGGAGGGUUGCGUUGGAAAUUUCAGAAGCACAAAGUGUCAAGUUAUUGUAAGAGAAGUUGAACCUCUCCAUCCAAGGGAGUUUCCUCAAGAGCGAUGCAGGGAUCUCUCCGCUUAAAUUGUUGUCAGAAACAUCAAAAACUUGGAGAUUUCUCAAACUCAGCAAUGGGAUUCUGCCUAUGAGAUGGUUUUCAGAAAGAUCAAGUGUGUUCAAGUUACUCAGCUGGGAAAUUUCAGCAGGAAUACGACCCGUAAGACUAGUUUUCGACAAGUUCAGGUACUCCAAACCCGAAAAAGUUUUCACAUUUCUCCGGAAUUUCUGCCUUGUAAAAUUAUUGUGGGCGAGAUUAAGGUGUUUGAGAUUCUGGGAUUGAAUCCAAUCAAGUAAAAUUUCUCCACCAAGCUGAUUCUCAGACAAAUCUAAAUAAACCAAACGAGACCAAUUGUAGCUAGCAUUGAAUUGUACCUUUGAAACGUCGCCUUCAAACCGAUUCCUGCUCAGGUCUGCCACCUCCAGCAGCUCCUUAAACACUCCCAUCACUGAACCCUGAAACACAUUCCCUGAAAUGUUCAGAGAAGUAAUGGAAUUCAUCUCCGAAAAAUCGGAGUCCCGGCCUUGAAUCCCAUUCCCAGCAAGGUUCAAUACUUGGAGCUUAGGCAAUGCGGCACCAAAUCCAUCUGGAAGAGAACCGUUUAACCGAUUCGACGAAAGGUCAAUCCAAACCAGAGACUGACAGCUCAAAAUUCCUGAUGGGAUGCUCUUCUCAAACGAAUUUCCAUUGAGCUUAAGAACUCGCAGACUGGCAAGUGAGCUUAUAUCUGCAGGAAUCUCACCAGAGAAAUUGUUGUUGGAAACGUCGAGGGUUUCGAGCAGACCGAAGUUGCCAAUGUUGUUAGGCAACGACCCGGAAAUCCGGUUGUUGGAGAGAAUAAGGUGCUUGAGAGAACCUAGGCUCCACAAAUCCGAAGGCAGACUGGUGAUUUUGUUGCUGCUAAGGUUUAAAGAUUGGAGCUUUGUGAGCUUUCCGAUGGUUGUGUCCGGAAUCGGACCGGAGAGCUCCAAACCGGAAGCCUCAAAUCCGAUAACAUUGUUGGAUUCACAGAAAACUCCUUUCCACGAGCAAACAGGUGCAGAAAAGUUGUAGAGAUUGGAAGAAGAAGAUGAAGAAAAAGAACCCAAUUGUUUCAAAAACUCAGAGACAAAGAACCCAUCCGUGUUGGGCUGUUGGGAAGCUAAUGGAUUCAAAAGCAGGGAAAAAACUAGUAGAGAAGCAAAGAAAAUAUAACCCAUUUGGAAAAAUAGUGCAGCAGAGAAAAGGAUGUGAGAAAGUUUAAACCUUUCUUUCUCUCUCUAUCACUUUCUCACUCUAGAGCUUCAGAAGCAGCAUUGCAGUAACAUAAAUGGUUCUGGGUCCAUCUCAGAAGCACUUGCUUGGGGACUCUGCAGCUCCAUUAAAUCAACUGCAGAGUCUAAAAGAGUGGGUUUUGGGUUUUGGAGAAGAGAAUAUUGUUAGGCUAAAACUCCCCCAAAAAAAAAAAACAAGAACUUACAUGCAGGAUUUUGUUGGGUUUGUGGUCCUUGUUAUCCUCCUAAGAAAACCCCCCAAAAAAAAAGCACUGGGAAAAUAAGCCAAUGGGUGAAGCAGCACAUGCAAGUAACAAACUUAUUGGGUUCUCAAAGAGUUGACGGUUUUCUGGGGUUUGGAGAGUGGGGGAAUGUGAGCUCACCUUUGGUGGUUUUGCAGGUCCAUGACCAUGAAAUCCUGCAGAAACAAACAACUAAAAAGAGGAAGCAAUUUUGUCUGUGUGUGUGGAGAAGUAGAAUAUGUGAGCAGCAGCAAGAGGAGGAGAAUGCUCUAGUUUUUGCUGCAUAUAUUUUGUUUAAAACAAACAAACAAAGGAGACUGUCAUGUGAUUUUAAGUGAAAUGAAAACAAGGAGACCGUGAGGAGAGAGAGAGAGAGGGAGAGGGAGAGGGAGAGGGAGAGGAAGGAGGGUAUAUUGGGAACGAGAGAUUUUUAAAUGUGAUUGGAAUAUAGAGAGCAACAUCACAUGUUAUUGUACAAUUGGAAACACGCUAGAAAAAAAUAAAAAAAUAAUUCCUUCAAUUGUACAAUGAUAUGUAGCGUUCUAAUCUGUGUUCUGGACACACUGAAAAUCCGUUAACGGGAAAGAAGGGGUAGACAGGAGUUGAGCUUCAUAAAUGAGAAAGGUUUUAAUGGAGGGAAGUAAAUAUCUAGUAUUUGGGUUGAUGACAACUUUAUGUUGGUGGGAAUUCAGUGAUGUUCUACAUGGAGUGUUGUUUUUUUUCAUCAUUCAUUCUUUUUCUCUAAUUAAAAGUUGGUUGAUAUCUUUAUCAGAUUGAAUUCCAAUUAGAAAUUGGCAAAUUGCUACUAUAGAAGCUAAUCACCAUCUUUUAAUAGUGUUUUGUUAGAAUACUGCCAAUCAAGUGUAUUAUGUAGUGUUCUUAUACACUAAGUAGUAAUUAUUUGUUUCUACACAAAAAAAAAAAUUGAGUAGAAGUGUUUGAUUAAAUUAUUCGUAAAAUAAUUUUUACAAAAAUAUGAACACAUGUAUUUUGCCUUAUUCGGUCUUAUUCCGGUUUUACUUUUAAGAGUGUAUGGACGUUAGUUUUCAUUUUGAAAAGUAUCAACCUUUUGAAAACAAAAUUUUUUGUUUUUUUUUAUAAUCAAAAUAGAACGGACAGUGCUAAUGCUAUUCCCACAUUUGUUUUUACUUGUUACAUUACAUUGUUAAUUUUUUACCAUUAAUCUUUUUGAAAUCAUUCGGUCUGAAAACCGAAAAUUGAAAGGAGUAUAUAAUAAGUGAAAAUAGGUAUGUGUAUAAUAUUAUCCAAGAGAAAUUAUGACCAUUUCCCCAACUUUCCGUAAAGCAUGAUGGACAAUCAGUUCAUACAACUUUUACUUUGACAUUUAAAUGUAUUGAUUUUCACUUUAAAUAACUUAUAUAUGAACUCAUGAUUUGCCCUUAAUGACGUUACGGAUAGAAAUCAUCUCCGGAUCUCUUCCUCCAAAUCCCAAAGAUCAAGUGAUCCGGACCUUUAAAAUUUGAACAAACGGCUAAAAACAGAGAAGUGAGUAAAAAGUUUUAAAAGCUAUAAUAGUUUUUAACCGUUGGAUCAAAUUUUUAAAGGCCCGGAUCACUUGAUCCCUGGGCUUUGGAGGGAGAGAUCCAGAGAUGAUCUCUUUCCCAAUGUUACAAGUUGAUCAAAUGAAGGGAAGUGUGUAAUUUGCGGAGUAAAAUUCUCUCUCCUCAUAUUCUCUUUUCCUCUCACACUUUGAUGUUUGUUCUUUUGUUUUUAUUAAAAAAUUAACACAAUAUGUUAAUGUGACUUAAUCGUAACCGUUCAAAUAAAAAAAAAAAAGACAUAAAUUAGAAGGAAAGAGAAUCAUACUCCGUAAUUUGGUGGCGGGUGGGGAGUGGGGGCGGGGGCGGUGUUGGCGGAAUAUAUUUCAAAGGAUUAGCUUAGAAAUGGUUGGUGUGAUGUAGCGUUUUGUUGACUUAAACAUAUGCACUUCAAAAAGGUUCUCCCAAUGAGAUUAUGAGUCCCACCCAUUUCGAUUAAACAAGUGAUUUACACCCUAACCCAUCAUCACCAUUAAUUAUACUUAAUGGUGGGUCCAGUCUCUUAGUAAAAUUCAAGAGACUAUGAUCACUCCCGUCAAGACUCAACCAUCUCGAUUGUUUAUUUGGAAAGGAGCUUUAAACACCCCACUGCAACAAUAUUCUAAAUUAAUAAGCGAUUUCUUAUGUUUCAACUUUUAUAUAUUUUAGCCGGCACUGACUAAGAAUAUUGAAAUAGUGGCAUACCGGUAUAAGUAAGUCUCUCUCGUUCAAUUAGGGGGGGUCAAUCACAUGAUUAGAAUUAAAAAACAGCUGUAGUGGUGUUGAUGAUUGAGUAAACUAAUCCGUGUCUUGUUUCUCUGUAUCUUUCGUUCCUCUGAGGAUUUGGCUUGGGGUGUGACUGAAUAAUGAAAGUUAAUAGAAUAUAAUUACUGUAGUCAUGCUGAUUUAGACACCUUUGCAUCGAUCAAACUCAAGGCACAUGAGGGCUUUGACAAGUUUAGACGACGACCCUUGUCCUAGUGGAGAAAGAAAACAACAAAUUAAAUUAAGUAAUUAUGCAGGUAGGUGUUUGCACAUGGGAAAAUGCCCACUUUGUCAAAAUCUUAGACGGUAUCGCUUGUGAUUGUAUUUGAUAGAGAAAUUUGUAAGUGUUUUUUGAUGGAUACGGUGUUAUCUUCAUUAAAGGGUGAGAGAGUCGACUAUGACUCACAUGAUCUAUCCAUAAUAGUUUGGUCCUUCGUUUUUGGCGAGAUUGAACAUAAAAUCUCUCACUUACAAAUGAAGAGAAAUACCAAUAGACCGCUGUGCUAAAAACAUUUCCAAUCGGGGAUCUAUAUUGAGUUGUAUAGAGAUGUCAAAGUAGUUUACAUCCCACAUACACAUCUCCAAGAUUGGAGAUUCUCCAAGUGAUUAGCGUUAGCGUUGUUGUGAAAAAAGCACUUACGCCAUGAAGCAUUUACGAACAUAAGUGUUUUCUAUACCGACAUUCCAAAUAAGAAUGAUAAAACGGCAUUGUAUAGAAAGUGAGUUGAGCAGAUCGGGAGCACGCCAAGACUCAACAAGAAAGAGAAUGGAGGAAGAUUACAUCAAGUCGUAAUAAUUUGCACUGAUUGAGGGGGGGUUAAGGUGAGGAGUAAUAAAAAAACCACCGACACACAAGGACUAAUGAUAAUUGAAACGACCAACCCCCCAUAACACUUGGUUUCAUGAUAUUGCCAAUUUGCCAGCUGCAAACCUACUCCUCGGACAAUCAUGCUCUGUCACUGUUGUGUUACUUCUCCACGAAGCCGCGAGCACAUAUAGCAUGAGUUGGCAAAAUCUUGGGUGUAACCGAAGGUAUUUUCCUCUCACCAACUUUCUUAUCAAGAGAGAGAGAGAGAGAGGAGGAGGAUAUACCCCCAUUACACGCUUAGAAACUUUCCUAAGAGUUGCACCCAUGCAAAGUAUAGAGAUGUCAUCGAAAUUUUACGAUGAUCACUAAAAGAUGAAAAAUUUAAGAUCCUAUAAAGUACCCAAAAUUUCAUACAUUACAAUAGAACACAACCCUCAAAAGUUAUACUGAUUGAUUGUAGGCAACCAGAAAUAGAUUUAUAGCAAAACAAAAAGCUUAGUGUAUCUCGGAAAGACCGAAAACACGUAAUCCUUCAGCUAAUACAAUUAUCCGUCCAUGAGAAAUUCUCCCCACAGCAGUAAGAUACAGUUCACCUGGUCUGAGCUCUCUUCCUCUCCACUCCAAACGCAACACAAAUAAUCGCCCCGUAUUACAAUUUCUCUCAACAUCUACAGCAAACCAACAAUCUGUCCAUACAAGUUUGACUUAUUCUGUCAUAUCCGGAGGGGGUGAUUUCCAGAACCAUACCUGUCUGGCUUUGUUUUUUUCAUCUGCGAUCUCUGGGUUGCAAUCUUUUGGAAUGGAUUUGGUCCGCCAAAUGUUUCUUUGGGUUGCCUUACCCUCUUUCUCUUUCCGCGAUCAUAUUCUUCAUCCCUGCAUCAAUUAAACAUUCCACAACUUGUCAGAAGAUUUUAUAUGUAAUGCGUUAACUGGUGAAAAUUCAUGCUGAUUAGUGUGACAUGCAAGGGAUUCCAAACUCACCAUUCGUCAGGUAUAUAACCAAUGCUGACACUCUUUGCACGGCUUGAUUCUACAAUACGAGGAGGAGGCAAUUCUAUUCCGUCCCAACGUGCAACUGCAACCAACAUAUUUUUUUGAGAGAUACAAUCAGGAAAUUAUAACCACAAUAACAUUAGGUAACAUCAGUUUCAAUGGGCUUCUUGUUCAUAUUUUCUAGAAGACAGAAGAAAGAACAAACAAAACAAAAAACAAAUAAGUAAUAAAGGUUUAUCCAGCAUUCGAAACUAACAGAUCAAUUGGGUAGAAGUGAAGCUCAACUUGCCAAUCAGCAAUAGAUAUAAAUGCAGAAGGCAUUGCAAUUGUAUAUAGGCAACACAUGCAUGACUACAUAACGGCAUGGCAUAUAUGCAAAUACUACAAAACUACCAGCAACCAUGGAUAUAUAUGGUCAGGAGGGCAGAGUCCUAGAUAAUUUACUCACCCAUUGUCUCGUCAAGACCUCGGGUCAGCACACCAAUCCCUCCAUUUUGCAUUCUAUCCCUUUUACAAUUGUGUGGGGUAUCAUUUUCCCCGGUCUCCCGCAGAUUUUCUUUUGAGAAAGAGCUAGAGACAUUACCAAUUUGUAAUCUUUUAUCACUUGCAAGCACUGUACCAUUCUGACCAACACUUUCUCUAAACUCACCCUUAUUGGCAGCCAUUAAAGAAUGACCAUGAGAUUUCAUUUCCAGCUUUUUAUCAGUUCCAUCUGCAUCCUUUUUUAAGCCAGAUUUGGUCCCCUUCCUCUUAGACUUUUGCUUAGAAGGAGUAGAAACCAAGGGAAUUGACCGGGUUUGCUCAGAUGUAGAUGGCCCCAUAUCAGAUAAGCAAGAAUUGUCCAUAACAUGUUUCUUAAGAAGGCUACUGGUAUCUGAAGAUGGGUGCUUACUCCUUUUGUGUUUUUUCUUCUUCUGUACGCUUAAGACCGCCCGGGAAAGUAAGCCAGGUCGUAACUGCAUGCAAGCAACCUUAGACUUUAGCUGCUUCUUUUUCAAUUUUCUAUGGCGUUUGCAAGCAGAAGAUUUCACAAGCAACGAUCCAUAUGUCACAAUUAAUGAGGAGCCAGACAAUUUUGCUGACUCAUCAAUUACUACUUUUUGGCCUGAAUCACCAGUCUUCUCACCCAAAACAUUACAAGCAGCACUUCCAUUGGUAAAACUUCCAACCUAAAAUAUAAAAGAAGUUAAAUCAUGACAACGCAACCUAUCAUAAAAUGCAUAAAAAAUACAAAAAAAAAAAAUACCUGACUAAUUUUAGAGCUUGGUUGAUCUGAUGAUUUGACAGUGUGAAUUCCCUCCUUUUUCAUACCGCCAGGAACUCUGGAUGAUGUACUCAAGUCUCCCUUAGAGGAUACAAGAUUAUUCUAGAUGCAUAAACAAAUUAAAAACUCAAGCACCAAACAAAAGUAAAAUAUCAAGUAGGUAAAAACUAGAGAUAUCAAAGUGUAUAGAAGAUAUGUUGCAUCCACUUACAUUAUGAGGGGUCUCAUCUAGUAUGGGUUUAGAAGCCUCAAGGCUUUCAGGGUCCUUGGCAUUGGGUGCUAUGACACUGGAAACACCACUGUUUUCAACUGACCUUCCUCUCCCAUUAAGGUCAGUUUUAUUGCCAUCAGCUUUUGCAGCUGUGGCAUUUUCAGGAUCCGAAGUGCCACCAUUUCUAGUUGGAGGUGAUCGUAGCAUGUCCUUUCCCAAUGUGGGAAUCGGAAUGGAAAUCCCUUUCAAUGAAUCCUUUGGUAAUGAUGAAGAAGAAUCUGAAACAGGUUCCUUCAUACACACCAUAUUUUCUGCCGCAUUUUUAGAUUCAGAAGCACCACCACUGCUGCGGCUUGGAAUGGAAAACCCUUUCAGCGGGUCUUUUGAUAAAGAUGGAGAAGACUCCCAAACAGGUUCCUUCAUAGGCACCAUAUUUCCUGCCACUGUCUGGCAAUUAGUUGAUGCUUCCUUCAAAAGGGGCACCAUAGGUGGAACUAUAGUUGAUUUUUGUGUCAUAACGAUAGAUGAGGAUGGACCACUGGAUCUGCCCUCAACAGAAACAUUCUGAACCGGUCCUUUGAAGCCUUGGUUGUUAGUGCAACGAGUUUUUAAUCCAGCUCCAUUUGCAUUGAAAUUCUCCCUUCGAGCAACUUCAACAGGCUUCCUUGGUAUUAUAUUUCUUCUAUCGCGGACAUAAAACAACAUGUAAGCCUUCUGUUCUAAAACAAUCCUCUCACUAACUUGGUAGACCUGUUGCAUCAUAGUUGUGCAAACUUGUAAGAAACCUUGAUUACUUUUUUUCAUUUCAUAUGCAAUUUAAAGAUUGUGGAUUUACUGCUGCCCUGUCCCUCAAAUAUGGUACUAGCAUUUCUUUCUCAUAUAUCAAGUAUACCCAUCCAAUCGGAGUCAUUCAAAGAUAAAAACUCAGUACAUCUUUGGACAAGGGACUUAUAAAAGGGAUUUGCAAUCCCAUUUGAAAAGUGGUUGGGAACCAUAGAAAGGGAAUAUGUCAAUUUCGGGUGGGACUUGAUAAUGAGAUUUAGAGCCCGGAACCCCACCUCAAGGUAGACAAACAUGAGUGGCUUAUAAAGUCCAUUAGAAGAGAACUUAGUCCAACACUGAACCAUGGACCCACAACUAAGGAUCUAGGACCCUGGACACUCAAACCCAGGAUUCCGAACCUAGUGGCCGAGAUGCGAGACCCAUGACCUGAGACCCAAGACCUGGGAACAAACCUGAAAACCAGGACCACUGAUCCGAGACCCAGACCAAGUAGUCAGAACACCAGACCAAGGUUCAGGACCCAAGACCCUGGACCAAGGGCACAGGCCAAACAUGUUGUAUAAGUUCUUUAAAUGAAUCCUACCACACUUGAUUGUUUAACCAAACAAGUAAAUUCAGGGAUCAAUCUCAUCUUUCCAAAAUCCCACCGUUUUUAUCCUUUGUUACUUCUAAUACCUCAUCCAAAGGGAAACUUUCAGCAGCAAAUGAUUAUAAUCAAUAUGUUGACAUGGGACAUCUAAGAUCCAUAAAGUUGGGUUACACCAACUUGGUCAAUCCAAAUUGUUAAGUAUUAUGAGGAACAGUGAUAUCUCAAUUAUCAACUCACCUGGUUGUCAUCAAGAGAGUACCACAUGCCACUUGAUGUGCGAACAUAGCAAUAAUAAUGGCCAGAAUAGGUGGUAGCCCCACAAUGAACAAGAACCCCAUAGAGAGUAUAUUUCAAAUCCCCUUCCUGCCAAGUAGAAUGUAAAACAGGAUUAGAAUACAAAACCAUGAUGUGAAUGGCACAAAACAUAAUCAAAUCAGCAACAUAUGACUUUUGGCUUCCUUUAAUGUGUUACCCCAGUCAUAAACCUAAUGGUCCAAAUUCUAAUUCCAAAUUUAACCUUUUUCAGCAAAAAGGACCAAAAUUAAGAUACAGUUUUCAACAAGUAUUGGGCAAGAUUAUGAAAUAUGAAAUAAAAUCAUAAGUAAACAGAAUCAGGGACUUGCGCAUCAAAUGCCACAAUGUUUCUUUUAAAUUGGUUCAUUUGUAAAAUGGAGAAAAAAUUUAGAAGUAAAGCUUGCAUGGCUAAAAAAGCUUGAAUACUUACGUAGGAACCACUAACAAAUGGCUUCAAAUCCAAUGUAGGGGCAAAUUUUACAUGUCUAUCAAUUUUUCGUCCAGGAUCAUGUGCACGAAAUCGCUUCAAAUGGAUGGUAAGUACAUAAGGAGGCUUUUGAACAGUCAUCUGUUUGAGAGCCCGAACUUUCUGAUUGCAUCGUUGGCACUGAUAUUGCCUUUCCCCUCCAUCUAACUGUUCUGAGGCGGUAAAUUUUGCAAGUGCUUUUUGCACGGAAUCUGCGUUGAAUAUUUCAAGACUUAAAUCUAAGAAGGGGUCAAACUUGUUGGAGCAAUAGGAGCACUGCAAACAUUUGACCUGAAUAAAUAAUAACAAAUCGGGUUAUGAAAUAUCAAGUAUACUUAAAUUCCUUACCUUUUUACAAAAAAAAUAUAAACUCCCAUUCACUACAGUAUCUCAAAAACCACAAAGUCUACCAUUACAAUUCUUACCUGGCUUCGAAGGCGACCACCAAAAAUCUUGUGUACCAAGCUCUUCUCGUAGGCACUUGGGGAUUCGCUGGGCACACCAGAAGGUAAACAGCAUUUAUGCAUGGAUUCCAGCAAGUUUACCAUGUAUUCAUGUGCAUCCUCCUGUCUAGACUUAGUGAAAGUUCGAGAUAUGCCUUAUCAUUUGUCAAGGAUUCCAACUUCAAGCAUAGAAACAACAAAAAUAAACCCAGCACAACACUUAUAAACUGACCCUGAUCUUAACCUUAUGAAAAUGCAAAAUUGGAGUGGUGAACACAAGAAACUUCUUGAUGAACACUCCCUUAAACUUGCUCCAAUCAGAUCAUUUGGAUAUUAGUUAUCCCCCUGAGAAUUUUUUUUUUCAUGCUUAUUAAAAAUCAACUUUGACUGUAAACUAUAAAAAUAAAUAAAAAAUAAUAAAAAUUCAUUCAUAGAAGAAUUUAAAAAAAAAAUUGAAUAUUUUUAUUUUUCUUCUUUAUUGACACACUUGGUUGUCGAGCAUGUUGAAUAAAUAAGAACUCCAUCAACAAAGGAGAAGGUUCUGUGGACAAACAUGGGAGUCCAAUGAGUACGUCCAACUAUAUAUGGCAGAAAUAUAUCACCACAAAACAUUUCAAGGAUACAUCGUAAGUUAAUGACUAGAUCCUUUGGAACCAAAAUUCUCCCGGUUGAUUGUAGAGCAAGACUAACGUGCUUCUGGAUGGCACAUAAAGCACAAAACCCAGCAAUAUGGCCUGUAAAAACAAAAUCAAACAAAUUAGCUAUGCACAUAAAUUCAACAUUCUUCACACAUGCACAUGUAAGCACGUUUGAGCGCUGGCUUACCCCUACUUUACAAAUGGAAUAUUACGACACUUUUUUUGUUUAUGUUAAUUCCUUCCAUGCAAACACACAGACACAAAUAUGUGACAUUUUUUUGUCUAUAUUAACUUGUUGCAAACGUCCAAACUAAGGGCAAGUCUAGAGUUUUCGGAGGAGUCCUUACAUGAAUUUCGAUGCUUUCCACUUUGCAAGUAUGCAGCUAAAGGCUCAGUAUAUGUCAGACACUGCAACACUGAAUUGAGAUAACAAGUGUUCCCCAUAUUCCUCAAACCGGCACCCUGAAAAUUACACAAACCAUUUUCACUGUCAAGCAACUAGGACCCAAAAGAAUAUUCGGAGAACAACCAAAUGCAGCAAUAGUAUUACCAUCAAAACAUCACAUAACAGAAUAUUGACUAUGAAACAAUUGAAAGGAAAAACAAAUUCAACCGAAAAUCGAUUUGACAUAAGAAGCCAAGCAACAAAACUCUGAAUUCAUCUAAACAAAACAUAUAACAAGCCCGAAUCGAAAAAUGCGAAAUGAUUCAAUUUAACUAAGCAAAAGAAAGAAACAUCAGCACGACCAACCAAACACAUAAGUAAUAGUGAAUGGAAGUAAGAGAAGAAAGCGAUCAAAGGCAACACUUUGACUCACAAUUCUCCGGAAGGUGAUGCCAAAGCUGAGCUCCGGAUCCAACCCGUUCUCCAAAAACUCGGACCGAUCCGUUUUCUUAGCCGUCAAACUCGACUGACCCUGAUUAGAGCUGCUACCGCCGCUGUUGCUGCUUCCGGGGUUCAAGGUCUCGAGCCUAAAGUCACCGCCACCAGUGUUAAGGCCAUUGAAGGGCUUCCUCGCUCGGUGGAACUCGAUACGCCUCUGAAGCGGAUUCGACCCGGUUUCCGAUUCGGGCAUUAAAUCCGCAAAGCCCUCCGAUUGGAUUUGGAGCUCCGCCGUUUGCACCAAAGCGUCGGCCAUUUCAGGAGCCGAAAAAGUUGCAAUUUUGCAGGGAAAGUUUCGAUUUUUGUUCUAUGCGUAUUGAAUUUCUCUCUCGGGAAUUAGAAAUUAGGGUUCUAAUGGCGGAAAUGUUUGUGGGGAUUUGGGAGAAGCAGAGAG